AUGUCGUGGUGGGGGCAUGCUGCAAUGUACUCCUGGAAUCUCUCCCAAGCUUUCGGGAUGGCUUCAUCAGGAAGCCGCUGGAAUCCAGAGAUCUUCCUCCUGAGGAC